CUAAAGCUAAUGUAGUAUUACAUUAACUUUGCUUUACAUUUCAAAUUGAGAUUCGCUGCAAACAUAGAAUAAAAUUCAUAGUGAUAAUUUGAGUAGUCUGAAGAACAUUUUUGAAUAUUUAAGAAGAGGUUGCUUCACAAGUUUUACUUCACCAUUGUAUCUGCUACUACAUGCAUGUGUGAUGGCAAAGAUGCUAGAUUCCGUAUACCAGUAACUGGCCCUAAGGAUAAAGGUGUUUAUUAUUUUUGGGCAGUGAGAGAAAAUAACGAGUGGACAAUCACUAGAGCUGAGUUAGAAUUAAAGUCAAAACCAGAAGCUAGACUCAUUAUUGUAAUUAAUAAGCUGAGAAGUUGAUAUCAAAAAUGUUCAUUGGAAAUGCUAAAGAAAAGUUUAAUUUUCAUAACACCCUACUGUGUAUAGUUAAAGGUUUACAAAACAAAAAUAUCACAUUAGAUCUGCGAAACGAUGCCUACGUAUGUGGCACAAUUGAAACUGUUGAUGGGUGAGUCAAUAUUUUUCUCUACAUUCUGUAGGGUUAAGGAGACUUGAUUAUGUGUAGAUAUAUUACAUAAUUAAAUCUAG